rnacentral:rRNA from 1 species
UACAGAGGGGGCAAGCGUUGUUCGGAAUUACUGGGCGUAAAGCGCACGUAGGCGGAUCGAUCAGUCAGGGGUGAAAUCCCAGAGCUCAACUCUGGAACUGCCUUUGAUACUGUCGAUCUGGAGUAUGGAAGAGGUGAGUGGAAUUCCGAGUGUAGAGGUGAAAUUCGUAGAUAUUCGGAGGAACACCAGUGGCGAAGGCGGCUCACUGGUCCAUUACUGACGCUGAGGUGCGAAAGCGUGGGGAGCAAACAGG